CACGCCCUAAACGAUGCACACUAGUUGUUGUGAGGCUCGACCUUGCAGUAAUGCAGUUAACACAUUAAGUGUGCCGCCUGGGGAGUACGGUCGCAAGAUUAAAACUCAAAGGAAUAGACGGGGACCCGCACAAGCGGUGGAGCAUGUGGUUUAAUUCGACGAUACACGAAGAACCUUACCUGGACUUGACAUAGUAAGAACUUUCUAGAGAUAGAUUGGUGUCUGCGUGCAGAAACUGAUAUACAGGUGC
rnacentral:rRNA from 1 species